AGCGAACGCUGGCGGCAGGCCUAACACAUGUAAGUCGAACGCCCCGCAAGGGGAGUGGCAGACGGGUGAGUAACACGUGGGAACGUACCCUUUGGUUCGGAAUAACUUGGGGAAACUCAAGCUAAUACCGGAUAAGCCCUUAUGGGGAAAGGUUUACUGCCGAAGGAUCGGCCCGCGUCUGAUUAGCUAGUUGGUGAGGUAAUGGCUCACCAAGGCGACGAUCAGUAGCUGGUCUGAGAGGAUGAUCAGCCACACUGGGACUGAGACACGGCCCAGACUCCUACGGGAGGCAGCAGUGGGGAAUAUUGGACAAUGGGGGCAACCCUGAUCCAGCCAUGCCGCGUGAGUGAUGAAGGCCUUAGGGUUGUAAAGCUCUUUUACCCGGGACGAUAAUGACUGUACCGGGAGAAUAAGCCCCGGCUAACUUCGUGCCAGCAGCCGCGGUAA
rnacentral:rRNA from 1 species